AACAUAUUGCGGGGGAACUCAUAUGAGUUGAGAAGGUAAAACCUGACCCUUUGAACCUGUCAGUUAAUACUGGUGUAGGGAAGCAAUAAUCUAUAAAGU
rnacentral:ncRNA from 2 species